rnacentral:rRNA from 1 species
AUUGAACGCUGGCGGCAGGCCUAACACAUGCAAGUCGAACGAGUGGCGGACGGGUGAGUAAUGUCUGGGAAACUGCCUGAUGGAGGGGGAUAACUACUGGAAACGGUAGCUAAUACCGCAUACCAUCGGAUGUGCCCAGAUGGGAUUAGCUAGUAGGUGGGGUAACGGCUCACCUAGGCGACGAUCCCUAACUGGUCUGAGAGGAUGAUCAGCCACACUGGAACUGAGACACGGUCCAGACUCCUACGGGAGGCAGCAGUGGGGAAUAUUGGACAAUGGGCGAAAGCCUGAUGCAGCCAUGCCGCGUGUAUGAAGAAGGGCUUCGGAUUGUAAAGCACUUUAAGUGGGGAGGCGUUACCAGCAGAAGAAGCACCGGCUAACUCCGUGCCAGCAGCCGCGGUAAUUC